rnacentral:rRNA from 1 species
GACGAACGCUGGUGGCGUGCUUAACACAUGCAAGUCGAACGGUGAAGCCCAGCUUGCUGGGUGGAUCAGUGGCGAACGGGUGAGUAACACGUGAGCAACCUGCCCUCCACUUCGGGAUAAGCCUUGGAAACGAGGUCUAAUACCGGAUAUGAGCGCCUGCCGCACGGUGGGUGUUGGAAAGUUUUUCGGUGGGGGAUGGGCUCGCGGCCUAUCAGCUUGUUGGUGGGGUAAUGGCCUACCAAGGCGUCGACGGGUAGCCGGCCUGAGAGGGCGACCGGCCACACUGGGACUGAGACACGGCCCAGACUCCUACGGGAGGCAGCAGUGGGGAUAUUGCACAAUGGGCGCAAGCCUGAUGCAGCAACGCCGCGUGAGGGAUGACGGCCUUCGGGUUGUAAACCUCUUUUAGUAGGGAAGAAGCGAAAGUGACGGUACCUGCAGAAAAAGCACCGGCUAACUACGUGCCAGCCGCCGCCGUAA